rnacentral:lncRNA from 1 species
ACCUACUACCUAAAUCUGUUCUUGCUUCCCUUCCAAUUGCAUAGAUUUCAUAUUGACAAUUAUUUCAUAUAUAUCACGUUGCUUCCCUUUAAUUCUGGAAGCUUUUGAAAUGUAUUCUCUGCACCUCUGCUGUUAUCUAGGCUCAGAUGGAGGCACUGCCCACCGGCAGCCCAUAGGCACUGUUGGAAAGGACUAUACACAGUGCUGCCUUUUGUAUGCGGAUGGGCAUGCACUCACUCGGUGUGCACAGAAAAGAGACCAUCACUGCAUUCCUUUGGGAGGGGUCCUGCCGCAUGCAACGACAAGGAUAAAAGC